rnacentral:rRNA from 1 species
GGUAGCCGGCCUGAGAGGGUGUCCGGCCACACUGGGACUGAGAUACGGCCCAGACUCCUACGGGAGGCAGCAGUGGGGAAUAUUGCACAAUGGGCGCAAGCCUGAUGCAGCGACGCCGCGUGGGGGAUGACGGCCUUCGGGUUGUAAACCUCUUUCAGUAGGGACGAAGCGCAAGUGACGGUACCURCAGAAGAAGGACCGGCCAACUACGUGCCAGCAGCCGCGGUAAUACGUAGGGUSCGAGCGUUGUCCGGAAUUACUGGGCGUAAAGAGCUCGUAGGUGGUUUGUCGCGUUGUUCGUGAAAUCUCACAACUCAAUUGUGAGCGUGCGAGCGAUACGGGCANACUGGAGUACUGCAGGGGAG